rnacentral:rRNA from 1 species
CAGGACGAACGCUGGCGGCGUGCCUAAUACAUGCAAGUCGAACGGUCUUUUCUAUGGAAGCUUGCUUCCACUGAGAAGAUAGUGGCGAACGGGUGAGUAACACGUGGGUAACCUGCCCAUAAGAGGGGGGAUAACAUCCGGAAACGGGUGCUAAUACCGCAUAGUUUUCUUGAUCGCAUGAUCGGGAAAGGGAAGACGGCCUUUGUGCUGUCGCUUAUGGAUGGACCCGCGGCGUAUUAGUUAGUUGGUGAGGUAACGGCUCACCAAGACGAUGAUACGUAGCCGACCUGAGAGGGUGAUCGGCCACAUUGGGACUGAGACACGGCCCAAACUCCUACGGGAGGCAGCAGUAGGGAAUCUUCCGCAAUGGACGAAAGUCUGACGGAGCAACGCCGCGUGAGUGAAAGAAGGUUUUCGGAUCGUAAAACUCUGUUGUCAGAGAAGAACAAGUUGGAGAGUAACUGCUCCAGCCUUGACGGUAUCUGACCAGAAAGCCACGGCUAACUACGUGCCAGCCGCGGC